rnacentral:rRNA from 1 species
CGCGGCCUAUCAGCUUGUUGGUGGGGUGAUGGCCUACCAAGGCUUUGACGGGUAGCCGGCCUGAGAGGGUGACCGGUCACAUUGGGACUGAGAUACGGCCCAGACUCCUACGGGAGGCAGCAGUGGGGAAUAUUGCACAAUGGGCGAAAGCCUGAUGCAGCGACGCCGCGUGAGGGAUGGAGGCCUUCGGGUUGUAAACCUCUUUCGCUCAUGGUCAAGCCGCAACUUAGGGUUGUGGUGAGGGUAGUGGGUAAAGAAGCGCCGGCUAACUACGUGCCAGCAGCCGCGGUAAUACGUAGGGCGCGAGCGUUGUCCGGAAUUAUUGGGCGUAAAGGGCUUGUAGGCGGUUGGUCGCGUCUGCCGUGAAAUCCUCUGGCUUAACUGGGGGCGUGCGGUGGGUACGGGCUGACUUGAGUGCGGUAGGGGAGACUGGAACUCCUGGUGUAGCGGUGGAAUGCGCAGAUAUCAGGAAGAACACCGGUGGCGAAGGCGGGUCUCUGGGCCGUUACUGACGCUGAGGAGCGAAAGCGUGGGGAGCGAACAGGAUUAGAUACCCUGGUAGUCCACGCCGUAAACGUUGGGCACUAGGUGUGAGGCUCCUUUCCGGGGGUUUUGCGCCGUAGCUAACGCAUUAAGUGCCCCGCCUGGGGAGUACGGCCGCAAGGCUAAAACUCAAAGGAAUUGACGGC